rnacentral:rRNA from 1 species
UGGAGCGGCGAACGGGUGAGUAACACGUGGGCAACCUGCCCUCAGCUCUGGGAUAACUCCGGGAAACCGGGGCUAAUACCGGAUACGACCUUUCACGUCAUCGUGGUUGGUGGAAAGUUUUUCGGCUGAGGAUGGGCCCGCGGCCUAUCAGCUUGUUGGUGGGGUAAUGGCCUACCAAGGCGACGACGGGUAGCCGGCCUGAGAGGGCGACCGGCCACACUGGGACUGAGACACGGCCCAGACUCCUACGGGAGGCAGCAGUGGGGAAUAUUGCGCAAUGGGCGAAAGCCUGACGCAGCGACGCCGCGUGAGGGAUGAAGGCCUUCGGGUUGUAAACCUCUUUCAGCAGGGACGAAGCGUAAGUGACGGUACCUGCAGAAGAAGCACCGGCCAACUACGUGCCAGCAGCCGCGGUAAUACGUAGGGUGCAAGCGUUGUCCGGAAUUAUUGGGCGUAAAGAGCUCGUAGGCGG